rnacentral:rRNA from 1 species
GGGAGGCAGCAGUGGGGAAUAUUGGACAAUGGGCGCAAGCCUGAUCCAGCAAUGCCGCGUGAGUGAUGAAGGCCUUCGGGUCGUAAAGCUCUUUUACCAGGGAUGAUAAUGACAGUACCUGGAGAAUAAGCUCCGGCUAACUCCGUGCCAGCAGCCGCGGUAAUACGGAGGGAGCUAGCGUUGUUCGGAAUUACUGGGCGUAAAGCGCACGUAGGCGGCGACACAAGUCAGAGGUGAAAGCCCGGGGCUCAACCCCGGAACUGCCUUUGAAACUAGGUUGCUAGAAUCUUGGAGAGGUCAGUGGAAUUCCGAGUGUAGAGGUGAAAUUCGUAGAUAUUCGGAAGAACACCAGUGGCGAAGGCGACUGACUGGACAAGUAUUGACGCUGAGGUGCGAAAGCGUGGGGAGCAAACAGGAUUAGAUAC